AAGCUCGCUAGUAACGGCGGCUCUCAUUAUUUAUCUCAUUACUCGCUGUGGCGCUUCGGUGAUGGGACCUGGGAUCGGGAAGUUGUUUCCCGAGUCCCUUGGGUGCGUUCUGGGAUAAUUAGAGUGUGCAGCGUACUCUGUCGGAAGAGAUGCAGCCGGCACCCAUAAUGCACACCUAAUAUGUAAUGCAAUCGAGUCUUCUGCACACCGAUUACCGAUCUCGGAUGGGCAAUGGGAGGUGUACGGUUCGUUUGGCACGUCCCGCACAGGUGUGGUCAAUGCACCGACGAUGCAGCGCGAUGGGAAUUGCUUAAUUUAAGAUUAUCGCUCAAUUUGUAGCACAUUACACAUGAGGGUGCUGCUGAGCCGUGGAAAGUCUUGUAAAUCGGUGUUGUUGAGCUCAGGAAAACAAUCUGUGUCGGUACGAGCCGUUUGAAGUUGAUGAGUUCCAGCUUUUCGCCUGCAAUCUGGAUUGUUUGUUUUAUGAGUCCAAUUUUUUAACUCCAAUUUUGAGGUAAAUAAAUUGGACUCUUAAGAUUACUGAAGUGCUAGCCAUACGGGUAGGACUCUCCAAACUUAAAGACUCAUUGCAAAAAUUGCACGUUUCCAGAUGGUACGAUUAUAGCUAAAAGGAAAUCCCACCGAAUCGGUUGGACCAUAAACUAAAAUAUGCUCACACUAAGUUCGCGUACCAUCAUCCAUCACGGGUGCUCCCGGCGGGCAGAGAAAUCGGGAUAAUUAAAUUAAAAAAUCCCGAUGAUACACCUAUUUAUCUAGAUCCGGGCGUAAGUGAAUCUCCAUCCAACCGUCUGUUCCACCCACGGAGUUCCAGCGUUCCAGGCCGGGUUUGAACAACAACACCAGGUCCGUAUGCCAAUGUCCUGAGGGCAGUGAGCAUAUCGCAUCCGACCGGGACGUGUCGGAGUUUGUGGCCCCGGUUCGGCUCGUCCAGCGCAGAGAGAGAGGGCGGAUUGGAUGCAUAACGAGAUAAUUUUGUGGUUCGUUGGAAGAUAAUUGAUUAUGAACCCUUCGCCACCUUUCUUUUGCGCCUUUGGAGCACUGUUGUGGGAUCGCCGGGCAAGAGCCGAACGGUUUGAGGAAGAAUCGUGACAGUUUUUAGAUGGUGUAGAGUGCAAAAAAAGAGGAUACUUUUAGAGCACUGUUACAUCUGUGUAGCUUUGGCCCUGGAGGGAAAAUGGUGUUGGAAUUUUUGUACGUAGAUAUAGGGACGAGGGCAUAUGAUGUAUGAAUACAUUAUUCAUAAACUAUGCAAGGAGUCGGUCACACAUUGUAGCGUGUGUAACUAGCUGCAGUCUCCAGCGGGCCCCCGAAGGCAGAAUGCUUGGGAUGGGAUGGGUGAGUUAGCUGAGCGUACGUACCCCCCUCCGAUCAAUGGACGACGACGAGCAUGAAUGAGCCGUCAGGAUUGAAAAUUUGGCCAACGGCCAAGGUUCGUGUGGGUUACGCUUUACACACACACACACACACACACCGCCUUCGAUAUCUCAGCGAUAUCAAACAGCGCCCCACAGACAGUGGGUUUCAUAGCCCGAAUGCUUAACAGGAAAUAAUUUUGCAUAAAUUUGCAUGCACAAAACGCGCAACCGUCGCCGCCGCACGCGUUUUACCGGCCUGUGAGCUGCGGUUGGAAGAUUUCGGUGUUUUUACUUUACCGUGUCGGCGGACACAGCUCACCGUGUCAGUGAGGACAUUUUAAACAGUCUAUACUUUUUCGACAACACGACGGUGGUCGAUGGUCACUGUUCUGGUAGAGUGUGUGUGACCGAGUGACGUACAUGAAGGUUUAAUUGAAUUGCAUUUGAUUAAAAAUCAGUGCCUGAAAUCGAGCCCCGUAAUUUAGCAUCUGCUUCCCGGGGGCAUAUCGCCGGAGGGUUUAGGGGGUUUUCGAAACGGAAGUGCUAUGUUUUACUAUAAAUACUUCCGUUGAAUGAGUGUUUUUUUUUUGCGUAAUAUGAAUUAGGGUUUAGCAAUAGCUCAGAAUAGACAAUUUUAUUCUCCUCCCACCAACAAGUGCAGCUUGUCUUGGCAAUGUUUUAGUAUUGCCUAAGGAUAUACUAUUUUAUGAAUGUCACACCAACGAUCUCGCAUUAGCUCAGAGUAUAUAAUGUUGAACUGGUCCCACCAACAUCUCCUAUUUCUUCUACCAACUUUUUAAGUACAAGCUCAUAAUAAACAAUAUUUUUCUGCUCCCACCGCUCGACGAAUGCAUCCUUGAGGCAUCUCAACGCUUCGGAGACAAAUAUUAAUCGAUUGUAUCAAACCAUAAUGACAAGCGGACUCAAAUUGUUUGAUAAACCAAUCAUUCACUGUGAUCUGAUUGCUGCGACCGGUGAACAAUUUGUACCGCUCUGCCCCGGAUGAUACGAGGCUGACAAACCAGGCAAACGACAUCACCCUUUUUGCGCGUCUUUGCACUCCGGCGUCUCCGGUUAUCUCGGGGCUGGUGAAAAUUUUCCCAUCUUAUAAUUUUCCACUCAUCGAAAGCAACCGCACGCGGGCAAAGAGGUGCGCACACCAACAAAAAAAAAAAACCCGCUCGCGAACGCGUCCGUCAGCGAACGAUCGAUCAUGGGCCGCUUAUCCGGCCGGCGAAACCGAACCGGCGGAAAGUAAACACGAUCAUCCUAAAGCCUUCCAGUGCCCUCACCAGUGCCGGAGGAGUUUGAAAAGCAAUUUCUUUGCGGCAGGAGGAGUAGUGCAUGCAACGGUGGGGUUGUUGGGUGGAGGGUUGGCGAGGGUGAAAAGAUAAGCGAGGCAGUGCAGUCGUGCAGCAGUUAAUAAAAAGGGGCAUAUGAAAUAAUAAAUUAUUUUUCGAUCGAUGCGCCGAGAUAAGACGACGAUCGGGGGUCUUGCGUCGAGAAGAUCGAAUAUGUGUGUGCGAGAUCAGGUCGCGCGCGCGCACACGCCGAUCUUGGAUGGGGUAACCGAGGCUGACGAUGGAGAGAAAUGGGAAGGAAGGAAACACAUUGUGAUUGUGCGCCCAUCGAGGGGUCUUUGCUGCGAUUUAAUUCUUCAGCGUUCUGUGAUCGUUGGUAGAAUCGGGCGUUUAGCGAGCAUCUUUUUGGCGCGCGCACGCGCGUGUGUGUGUGUGCUCUCGAGGGCCUCUUCCAUCCACACAGCCCAGCAGAGUUCAGAGCUUCUUCAUCCACCUACUCGAAAUCAUUUCAUUAACCCUAUUACCGGCGCUGUGGUUCAUUCGUUCGUUGCGCUUGCCUUAAAACAUAAUUAAACCGUUAUCCGCACGGUUGGUUCCCGGGAAAUGCAUCGAUGGGGGAAGUUCUCGCCAACCCGCCAAACCAAACUCUCCGGCCCGAAUCCGUGCGACACUGUGCCGGGCGCGCAGCAUGGGCCUCGCGAACGAUCGCAUCGAGAUAUUUCCUGGUUGCCUCUUCUGUUCCGCGCCGAACGCCAGCCGAAGGCUCGCUCACUCACUCUUGCUUGCUGUGUGUGCCAAGCUGCAUAAAGAAUAAGAUCACGACUUGCAGGUACUUAUGAGUUUAUUUCCGACGAACUUCCCACCGUUUCGGACCCGUUUGCGUUGUCCAUCCGCCCCCGAAAAGCCGCUUGACCAGGGAGACGAAUUUCGCAUCGUACGAUACCGAUGGCAUGCACCAUGCUGGCUGGGGUGAGGUACCGCUGGUCUGAUCUUCAUCCAGCAAGAAGGUUUUCCGUUUGCCGGUGACUUACCGGGCCAUUAUCUUCUCCAAUUCUUCUCGUCCAGUCUCGACGGGAGCUUCGAUCUACUGCUACGCGCUAUCCCUUCCCGUGAGAGGAGUCCCGAUCGGGGCAACUUGAAUCGCGUCUUCCGCGGACCCAACGAGCAACAAAAUAAUAUUGAAUUAAAAUCGAUUGCUAGAGAGGAGAGUGUGUGCCCGCGCGCGCUUCAUUCGGAAGACGGGUGGAAUUAAAAUUGGAACCGCCGAACGAAACGCUCAAGAAGUUCCCAGGCUCUAGCCCGGGGGUUUUGUUUCUGUGUGCGAGAGUACCAGUGUGUCCCGAUGUGUGUGUGUGUGUCUUGCCAUUGGCAAACAUGGCGAUAAUUAUCGAAUUACGGAAUGGAACUUAAGGCGUUCGAGUAGCCUUUGACCUUUGCGGAAGGAAUCCGAGCAGUUAAGAUUUGCUUAACACUCGACGAAAUCAACUGAUUGGGAUCGUGUUUAUUGGAGAGGCUUUUAGUGUAAAUCAGAGCUUCAAGUAAGUAAGCAAACGGGGCUCAAUCUACUCUAUCUAUACUUGAAUAUCUCUUCUUCCGAAGUGGCGUCCCUCAUGUUUGCUCCAAGGUUUCCAGAUCCAUGUAGUUUGUUGGUAAAACAAUAUCAUCACCGUUAAAACUUAUUGUUAAUAAAUCAUCCUUGGAGAUGGAGCAGGCGAGUUCAUCCAACAGAAUUCUCCCAAUGAGCCCUUUAAAAAGCAAGUAAGUAAACAGUCGCUCAAUUCCCGGCAGGCAAGAAAAACUCAUCCAUGCCGCCGAGUAGAAAAUAAACGGCCGCCAAUAUCCCACAACGCCCUCUAAAUAUUGGGGAAAGUUUUUCAUUAGCCGAACGCCGAGGCCAGAUGGAAACGAAAGCAAAAAAACCCGAGUCACGUAAAUCAUCCGACGGGUAAACAGUGUUGCGAAUGCACGUCCAAGCACAGCACCGCCGUCGUCUCGUAUAUCGAACCCAUUGUGGGAAUGGGUUAAAAUGUCGUCACUCGAAAGAAACGCAGCCCCGAAUCCGAAAGGAAAACGGAUUGUCAGCCCCGUAAGCCCGUGCACACACAGGGACACAAGUGUGGUACCACCACAAUGUUGCCGGGGCCACUCUUGUUCGCUGGCGUGCGCGCCCGCGCGUUCGAUCAGUUGCUGCGAAGAUGCUAAUCAUGAUGGCGAUCGAAUCUUCAACACCAUCACUCUAUAGGACGGACCUGACGCGCAUCGCCGUGGAGGCGACAUGAGCUUGCGCCGCAGGGUGGUGGAAUAGUCGCGCAAUAAAGACAUCGCUAAAAAUAGUGUGCCUCUUGAAAAAGCUCACCGGUGGACUGAUGAGAAGGGGUUGCCGGUGGUGAAGGGAAAAGAGUGCGAGAGGUUUUAUGUAUGGUAGGAAGCAGCUGAUGAUGCUCUGGUGUCUUGUUCGCGACCGAACAAACGGAACUGUGUGUAGCCUACCAACUUCGAGGGUGCAUCGAGCAAGCACGUUUGCGUUAAUUAAAAUCAAUUUAAGAAUCCACGGGAAACCACCAUACACACUCGAACCUUACGCGUAAACGUCUAUAGGAACAUUCAAGUCGAAUAUGAGUCAAUUUGAUUUGAUGUUCUGAUUCGAUUGUUGGUUAAGAAAUUUUGUACGAGAAUGGAAGAAUUGCUGUCCCUUUAGCCGCGACCCUCACGGUCUCAUUAUAGUUAUCAGCAAACGAUACAAAAACGAAUCACUAUUAGACCUGUGAUGAUGAUGGCAGCUGAUUAUAUUGAUCGUUUUCAUCAUCAUCAUCAUCAUCUCGAACAUCUAUAAUAAUCGGAUCGCAAUCGAUCGCAAAACGGAAAGAGGUGGUGAUGGAGGUUUGGUGUUGUUUUGUGCUGCUCAUAAACAUUCUCUCUCACCGCCCUCCCAAUCCGCAGCCGCGACCCCACAUUAUUAAUAAGCGACGAAAGGCGACUCGGUGUGGAGAUCAGUUUGAAGUGGUUCGUGGCAUU